GCUGGCGGCGCGCCUAACACAUGCAAGUCGAACGAGAAAGUGGAGCAAUCCAUGAGUACAGUGGCGUACGGGUGAGUAACACGUGGGUGAUCUACCUCUUAGUGAGGAAUAACCCUGGGAAACCGGGGCUAAUACCGCAUAAGCCUUAGCAGGGAAAGUCGAAAGACGCUGAGAGAGAAGCCCGCGGCCGAUUAGCUAGUUGGUGAGGUAAAAGCCCACCAAGGCAGAGAUCGGUAGCCGGCCUGAGAGGGCACACGGCCACACUGGCACUGAAACACGGGCCAGACUCCUACGGGAGGCAGCAGUGGGGAAUCUUGCACAAUGGGGGAAACCCUGAUGCAGCGACGCCGCGUGAGCGAUGAAGCCCUUCGGGGUGUAAAGCUCUUUCGUCAGGGAAGAUAGUGACGGUACCUGGAGAAGCAGCUGCGGCUAACUACGUGCCAGCAGCCGCGGUAAUACGUAGGCAGCAAGCGUUGUUCGGAGUUACUGGGCGUAAAGGGUGUGUAGGCGGUUCUUUAAGUUUGGUGUGAAAUCUCCCGGCUCAACCGGGAGGGUGCGCCGAAUACUGAGGGACUAGAGUGCGGGAGAGGAAAGUGGAAUUCCUGGUGUAGCGGUGAAAUGCGUAGAUAUCAGGAGGAACACCGGUGGUGUAGACGGCUUUCUGGACCGUAACUGACGCUGAAACACGAAAGCGUGGGUAGCAAACAGGAUUAGAUACCCUGGUAGU
rnacentral:rRNA from 1 species